GGUCUGGCUUCUAAUCCCGAUCUCGCCACUUGUUCUGGGUGUAUGCGGUGACACUGUAAACUGGAGAGAGUGAAGAGAAACUACUCCCUGGAUUUUCUUCCCGUGAUCCAAAGCUGCUGGUAGGAGCUCGGGGGCAGAUUGGAGAAGCGGCUAAUUGCUAAUUGCUGCCAGAAGAGGGCUUUUCAUUCUAAAGG